GGAUGCGAAUGUGAUGGUGAUGGGCAGCAACGGCAAAUUGAAUUUCAGUUUGGAAAGGAAAAUCAUGGGAUAUGAGGAGACCCCACUUGAGUGACGAUUCGGAUAUCGUCGGGCUUAUGCCUAAAUUUCUAGCCUUAUUAACGGUCCUCACCAUAGGUGAGUCAAGUGCUUAGCGUGGGACUCUACUAUAGCCUGGGAGGCACCGACCCGAGCUUUGGAGGCUCUUCUUACAUGGUGAUAUCUCUUCCGCUCGUUUUAUUUUUCUCAGUUAUGUAAUUGAUUAACCAGCGGGGCUAGUUUUUUGUCUCUGUUUUCGAGAUUUCUGUAUUUGAUUAACCAGUGGGGCUGGUUUGUCUAUUUUUAUGGAAUUCUAGAUUUAAUGUUAUUUGGAUUAUCAAAGAUGCGUGCAAUUAAGUUUUAAAAGUUGAAACAUAGGAAAGUAUAUAAAUUAUGUAUUUGUUAAAUUAUUUAAUUUAUUUUUGUCCACUCAUUCUAAUGUUUUUAAAUUAUUUUCCCCUAGACCCUUCGGUUUUAAAUGCCCAGUUUGCAUACUAAGUUUAAUUGAGGUCAAGCGUACAUGGAGUCGAGACAUAGUUAGAGGCUGCUUCCGCUUAUUCAUUAUUCAUUAUUUUUCUUUCAUUAUAGAUAUGCUCUGAUGACCAUUUGAGAUUGUUGUUGGUUGAUUAAGGCUUGAUGUAUUUUGGGAGAUGUUAUGAACUUGGGGAGCAGGAAGGCUCCAGGAGUUGAGGAUGGAUGUGUUAUAAUAUAAGUGUUUAUUUAGAAUUU